CUGCGAAAGCUGCCAAAAGUGACAUGCAGCACCGAGAAGUCCGCGUGAAGUGCGUGAAGGCUCUGAAAGGGCUGUACGGUAACCGGGACCUGACCGCACGCCUUCACUGGCCGCUUCAAGGACUGGAUGGUUUCCAUGAUCGUGGACAGAGAGUACAGUGUGGCAGUGGAGGCCGUCAGAUUACUGAUACUUAUCCUUAAACUUUUCUACCCUGAGUGCGAGAUAAGAACGAUGGGUGGAAGAGAGCAACGCCAGAGCCCAGGCGCCCAGAGGACUUUCUUCCAGCUUCUGCUGUCCUUCUUUGUGGAGAGCAAGCUCCACGACCACGCUGCUUACUUAGUAGACAACCUGUGGGACUGUGCAGGGACUCAGCUGAAGGACUGGGAGGGUCUGACAAGCCUGCUGCUGGAGAAGGACCAGAGCACGUGCCACAUGGAGCCAGGGCCAGGGACCUUCCACCUCCUAGGGUGAAACCAGGAGAGAUUGCUUGCUUCACUUGUACAAGGAAAUGGAUUGCAUGAUUGUUUUGACCAUUUUUCUUCAUGCUAAAUAAAGUAUGCAGACUUAAGCAUUGAGUUAAGAGA
rnacentral:lncRNA from 1 species